UUUAUGAAUAAUAAAUGCCCCUGCAUUGAGCCAGAGCCUUUAAUUUGCAUAUCAGGAGAGCCUUAGUGCGCGCGUUACUGUGAGCCCUUCCAGCCUGCAUAAAAACCAGAAUCAGAGAGAAAAAGUGCCUUAACAGAGAAUGCUGCUGGAGGGAACGGACAAUCAACAUGUGUCUGCAGCGCGACAGGCUUGUUUCUGAGUGUCCAGGGUCAGCCUCCCAAGGGACCGCUCCAAAGGACUGCAGUGACCUGCCAACACUUCUCCCCUGACAUGCUGCAGUGAGAGGUCAAAGACAAUGUCUGAGGCGGCGGCGGAUCAAUGUGUGACCUUCUCACUUAUAAUCAGGAUUAGGGCAAUUGACCCAUUCAGAUUUUUUCUAAUGUUCUGAAGAUGAUUUUAUUUUUCAAGGAAAUGUGAUGCAUUGCUUUGAUGUAACGAUAACUAUUUAAGUUAUAUUAAAGAAGUAAUUUGUUUCUUGUGAGGCAAGACCAAAGAUAUGAACAGAGGAAAACAAAUAUUGUAAAUGUGUUCCUUUACCAAUAUCAACAAGGUAAAACUUUGUAUGUAAACUAAGCUGAUGAACUAAUCUAUCUAGAUUUUU